rnacentral:lncRNA from 1 species
GACGGUGACUGUGACACGUUCCUUUGGUCUAGUCAAUCCGUUUCAAAUCUCUUUCUUCCUUUUUAAUUUAUUUUAUAUAUUUAUUAAGAAAGUCAAUUUGUAACUACUUGAACAGUGUGAUUGGUGAAGAAAGGCUGAACUGAGAACAAAUGAGAGGAACAAAAUAAAAGGUAUAGAAAAGUUAUAAAUUUGUGUUGUGCUGAGUUU